rnacentral:lncRNA from 1 species
UUCUUCUAUUUCUCUUACAGUGAGAAAGCUAAGUUCUAGCAGUCACCUUAUAUUUACUAUUUGUCUAGAUUCUUGUGUGUAAAUAUUCAAACAUGCUGUUAUAUCAUUGCCCGUGAUCAUUGGCUGUCUCCUUGGUUCUAAUACUGCCAUUGCCUUGACAGUUGACUGAUGACAGCGAGUCCAGUACCAUCGCCACCUCUGGACCAUACAGCAGUACUCUCUGUCCUACUGAUAUCUGGAAUGAUCUAAAGUACAUCAUUUUUCCCAAUCACUCAUCUUCUAGGAAAUAGAAAUAAUGAAUAAAGAGGAGGAAGAAGAGGGGGAGGAGGAGGAGAAGAAAUACAAACAAAAAACAAACAAACAAACAAACAAACAAAAAAACCAGCAGGAUCCUGAAAUGAAAGGUUAAGUUUGUCAGAAUAUUUAAAUAUUUAAAUAAAGUUCAAUAUCCCCUUUCUAUCACUGGCAUGCUCAUCUGCUGAACUAUAAAAAGCUUCAUAUUUUUUACCAGGUAGUUGAUAUGUUUAUUUUCUUUGAUUUUGGUUUUCCUGAACUGGAGACCAGGUCUUGCUAUGUCUUACCUAACCUGGAAACUACUGUGUAGACAAGGUUGGUUUCUAAGUCAUACAAGAUGCACCUGCCUGUUCCUUGUAAGUACUGGAAUUAAAGGCAUGCACCAUCAUGUGUGUCUUCCUGUGGGUAU